GACGAACGCUGGCGGCGUGCUUAACACAUGCAAGUCGAGCGAUGAAGCUCCUUCGGGAAUGGAUUAGCGGCGGACGGGUGAGUAACACGUGGGUAACCUGCCUCAUAGAGGGGAAUAGCCUUUCGAAAGGAAGAUUAAUACCGCAUAAGAUUGUAGUACCGCAUGGUACAGCAAUUAAAGGAGUAAUCCGCUAUGAGAUGGACCCGCGUCGCAUUAGCUAGUUGGUGAGGUAACGGCUCACCAAGGCGACGAUGCGUAGCCGACCUGAGAGGGUGAUCGGCCACAUUGGGACUGAGACACGGCCCAGACUCCUACGGGAGGCAGCAGUGGGGAAUAUUGCACAAUGGGGGAAACCCUGAUGCAGCAACGCCGCGUGAGUGAUGACGGUCUUCGGAUUGUAAAGCUCUGUCUUCAGGGACGAUAAUGACGGUACCUGCAGAAAAAGCACCGGCUAACUAUGUGCCAGCCGCCGCCGUAAAAC
rnacentral:rRNA from 1 species